AGAUUGUCAAAACAAUCCCAGGAUUGCCUUUCAAGGAAAAUCCAGCAGUUCACACAGACAGGCUUCAGCAGUGCUUAAAUUCCGAUCCUUUGAACACACAUAGAACUGAAAAUGAGCAACAGAUCACAGAAACAUAGACUCACUGAGGCUGUAAGGGACCAC